UACGUAGGGUGCGAGCGUUAAUCGGAAUUAUUGGGCGUAAAGCGUGCGCAGGCGGUUUUAUAAGACAGAUGUGAAAUCCCCGGGCUUAACCUGGGAACUGCGUUUGUGACUGUAAGACUGGAGUGUGGCAGAGGGGGGUGGAAUUCCACGUGUAGCAGUGAAAUGCGUAGAGAUGUGGAGGAACACCAAUGGCGAAGGCAGCCUUCUGGGCCAACACUGACGCUCAUGCACGAAAGCGUGGGGAGCAAACAGG
rnacentral:rRNA from 1 species